rnacentral:tRNA from 1 species
GAGGGUAUAGCUCAGUGGUAGAGUGAGUGCUUAGCAUGCAUGAGGUCUUGGGUUCAAUCCCUAGUGCCUCCA